CCUUCAGAGUGUAACUGAAACGCGGCUCUUCUCGGAUCUCAAGCCGCUGGGUUCCCGACCGGAAGUCACGCCAUCUGCUCUCGCGUUGUCCAGUUUAACGCGGACACAGAUUUUGGGACUUCUCGGUCUCCAUACUCCUGUGAGCCAAUUCAGAGAUUUGCGGUCAGCAACCUGGAGAACCGUGGAGCGGAUGGUCUAACUUCCGGUCGGAAACGCAGCAGGGUUGAGAUCUGAGAAGAACCGUUUAUUCAGUUCCACUCUGAAGUUUUCACUUCUUCUCAGUCUACAUAAUUUGGCUGAGUCCUCAAAUAAAAAAUUGACGCUCACAACCAGAAGGACCCACAACGAGAAUAUACAACUAUGUACUAAGGGGCUUUGGGGAGAAGAGGAAGAAAAAAAAUUAAUGUGUGCUUUUUCUUUUAGCCUAGCAUUUUGAGGCCAAUGUUAGAAUCCUUUAUUUGAAAAAGUAAUGGGUGAUGAAG
rnacentral:lncRNA from 1 species